rnacentral:SRP_RNA from 1 species
GGCGGGCCGCCCCGCAUUGGGGUUCGGUGCACCUGGUCAGGUCGGGAACGAAGCAGCCAACGCUGAUUUUCCCAAGUGCCGGGGGUCCGGCUCGCCUCC